rnacentral:rRNA from 1 species
AGAGUUUGAUCGGGCUCAGGAUGAACGCUAGCGGGAGGCUUAACACAUGCCAGUCGAGGGGCAGCACGAGAUAGCAAUAUUUUGGUGGCGACCGGCGCACGGGUGAGUAACACGUAUGCAACCUACCCUGUACAGGGGGAUAGCCCGGAGAAAUUCGGAUUAAUACCCCAUAAUAAUAUUGAGAGGCAUCUUUUGAUAUUUAAAGCUUCGGCGGUACAAGAUGGGCAUGCGCAACAUUAGCUAGUUGGUAGGGUAACGGCCUACCAAGGCUACGAUGUUUAGGGGACCUGAGAGGGUGAUCCCCCACACUGGUACUGAGACACGGACCAGACUCCUACGGGAGGCAGCAGUGAGGAAUAUUGGUCAAUGGGCGCAAGCCUGAACCAGCCAUCCCGCGUGAAGGAAGAAGGCGCUAUGCGUCGUAAACUUCUUUUCCAGAGGAAGAAAACCCCCGACGAGUCGGGGCUUGCCGGUACUCUGGGAAUAAGCAUCGGCUAACUCCGUGCCAGCAGCCGCGGUAAUACGGAGGAUGCGAGCGUUAUCCGGAUUUAUUGGGUUUAAAGGGUGCGUAGGUGGAUUAAUAAGUCAGUGGUGAAAACCUUCAGCUUAACUGGAGACUUGCCAUUGAUACUGUUAGUCUUGAGUACGGUCAAGGUAGGCGGAAUGUGUAAUGUAGCGGUGAAAUGCUUAGAUAUUACACAGAACACCCGAUUGCGAAGGCAGCUUACUGGACCAUUACUGACGCUGAUGCACGAAAGCGUGGGGAGCGAACAGGAUUAGAUACCCCUGGUAGUCCCACGCCCGUAAA